GGACAGUCAGAGAUAUGGCUUACAUCUGCUCAGCUUUAUUGUUCUGUCUUCACAAACAUUUGGCAUGUCGGAGAGAGAAGCUUAGAGUUGACCAAUCCAUACGAGCCUGUGAAAAGGACCUUCGCACUAUUUCAGUUGCUUUCCAGACCAAGUGUGGCAUAAACUACUUUUAUAUCAGCUGAUCAUGGGGUCAAGUAAUUUGGAUGCUUUGUUAGAUAUCUUCUUGGAAUUUACUGAGGCCAGAUAUGAAUGAUAAACUCACACAUUCCUUUCGCUGGAUUCUAAAGACCUUAUGGAGAAUAUUGAUGAGCGGACUAAGGAUCCAAAGAGUCAAGCAUUUGCACACAGAAUAGGCCCAGGC
rnacentral:lncRNA from 1 species